rnacentral:rRNA from 1 species
AUGGACGCCGUCGCGGCCGGCACGAGCAACGGCGGAUCCGGGGCCGAUGGGGACGCCGCCAGGCGGAACAACACCAGGAUGCCCAAGUAUUCCAAGUUCACGCAGCAAGAGCUGCCGGCCUGCAAGCCGAUCCUUACUCCAAAAUGGGUUGUCUCGGUGUUUUUCCUUGUCGGCGUCGUCUUUGUCCCAGUUGGUGUCGUUUCGCUACUAGCUGCACAAGAUGUUGUUGAGAUCAUUGAUCGGUAUGAUCAUGCAUGUGUCCCACCUAACAUGACUGAUAACAAGCUUGCGUACAUCCAGAAUGAGACUAUACCCAAAGACUGCACAAGGACUCUCACGGUUACAAAGGAGAUGAAACAGCCAAUUUAUGUGUACUACCAGCUUGAUAACUUCUAUCAGAAUCAUAGGAGGUAUGUGAAGAGCCGAAAUGAUGCACAGCUAAGAGAUUACAAGAAGUCAAAUACGACAACCUCAUGUGACCCUGAGAGGUUCACGGCUGAUGGAAAACCAAUUGUUCCUUGUGGUCUGAUUGCUUGGAGUUUGUUUAAUGACACAUAUAGCUUCACUCGUGGUAAAGACAACUUGACAGUAGACAAGAAGGACAUCUCCUGGAAAAGUGAUAGGGAGCACAAAUUUGCCAACAAUGUCUACCCAAGCAACUUCCAGAAUGGUGCGCUCAUAGGUGGAAAGAAGCUUAACUCAAGUAUCCCGCUGAGCGAACAGGAGGAUCUUAUUGUUUGGAUGCGGACUGCAGCGCUUCCUACAUUCAGAAAGUUAUAUGGGAGGAUAUACGUUGAUCUCAAGGCGAAUGAUACCAUAAUAGUGAGGCUGAGUAACAACUACAAUACAUAUAGCUUCGGUGGCAAGAAGAAGUUGGUCCUUUCCACUGCAACCUGGCUGGGAGGAAAGAAUGAUUUUCUUGGAUUUGCGUACCUUAUAGUUGGUGGACUCUGUAUUUUCUUGGCAUUUGCAUUCACCUUGCUAUACUUGAUAAAGCCAAGGAAACUGGGAGAUCACAACUACCUGUCCUGGAACAGGCACCCCGCAGGCCGCUAA